rnacentral:lncRNA from 1 species
CACUCUACUCCAUUACCAUUGUCAGCACUCUCCUGAUGAACUGAAGCCACGUCUCAUGUGCCCACUCAUACACUGGCACAUUGAAUGUUUCCUCUCCAAGCACUUCAAAUCCUGUCCAGCCCUCAGUGGAAGAGCUGAGCUCUUCUCCAUCACCAUCCAUCCAUGAUGAGCCUGUCCUGCACUGAAGCCUCUGAACACCUCAACUCAUGCCUCAUACCCUCAUUCAAUCACUGCUGUGAUCCCUUCCCAACACUGGUGAACAACGCUCGACAGAUCAACAGACACAAAUAAACUGAGAAUGUGAAGAAGCACUGGAACACAUGAGUGAGCUAACACUACAAGACAGAGAGAUUCACAAACAUGCAUUUUGAA